UGCAGUGGAAAGUGUGGAGCAUGAUGCAAAUGUGGACAUUUGGAGCCUUGGCAUCCUUUGCUAUGAAUUUCUAUAUGGGGUGCCUCCAUUCGAAGCAAAGGAACACUCAGAUACAUAUAGAAGGUAAAUCUUCUCAACAAGUGGAAACCUCUAUGAAUUUCUAUAUGGGGUGCCUCCAUUUGAAGCAAAGGAACACUCAGAUACAUAUAGAAGGUAAAUCUUCUGAACAAGUAGAAACCAUUAAGAGUUGCUUUUUAUGAGAAAUGUAAAACUGAAAAGCAAAAGAGAUAAAAUGUCAUAUUUUUGGAAGCCUUUCACAAGGAAAAUAGCUUGUAAAUACUAUUGCCAGCAUAAUCUUUAUAUACAAUAAUCCAGUAUAAUCUCACUUAGUGGGAUCUGGAGAGGGUAGUGUGUACGCAAACCUUACCCCUACCCUGGGAUAGAGAGGCUAUUUCCAAAUAGACCACCGGCAUCCUUCCCUCCAAAAAC
rnacentral:lncRNA from 1 species